UCGUGCGGAAACGAGUUAUCUGAACCUUCGGGGAACGAUAACGGCGUCGAGCGGCGGACGGGUGAGUAAUGCCUAGGAAAUUGCCCUGAUGUGGGGGAUAACCAUUGGAAACGAUGGCUAAUACCGCAUGAUGCCUACGGGCCAAAGAGGGGGACCUUCGGGCCUCUCGCGUCAGGAUAUGCCUAGGUGGGAUUAGCUAGUUGGUGAGGUAAGGGCUCACCAAGGCGACGAUCCCUAGCUGGUCUGAGAGGAUGAUCAGCCUUACUGGAACUGAGACACGGUCCAGACUCCUACGGGAGGCAGCAGUGGGGAAUAUUGCACAAUGGGCGCAAGCCUGAUGCAGCCAUGCCGCGUGUAUGAACAAGGCCUUCGGGUUGUAAAGUACUUUCACUCGUGAGGAACGCGGCGUCCGUAAUAGCGGCAUCGUUUGACGUUACCCACAGAAGAAGCACCGGCUACCUCCGUGCCAGCAGCCGCGGUAAUACCGACGGUGCGAGCGUCUAUCGGAAUUACUGCGCGUAAAGCGCAUGCCGGUCGUCCGCUCACUCAGAUGUGAAGGCCCGGGGGUCCCCCUCGGCGAUGCAUUUUCAGACGGCUUGCUAGAGUCCUCGCGGCGGGGG
rnacentral:rRNA from 1 species